rnacentral:rRNA from 1 species
AUAGCUUGCAUCGAAUUCCUAGUGAUUUCUGUUUGAUCCUGGCGGAGGUGACAGCCGAGCGCGAGCAGCGCCGCCGUCGCAACGUAGCACGCGUCCGCGCCGAGCGCGACCGCUUUUACGACGUCCGCCGCCGAGCGUAUCGAGCCGCCGGCAACGAGCGAGACCCAA